UACGUAGGGGGCAAGCGUUGUCCGGAUUUAUUGGGCGUAAAGAGCGUGUAGGCGGUUUGGUAGGUCCGUUGUGAAAACUCGAGGCUCAACCUCGAGACGCCGAUGGAAACCAUCAGACUAGAGUCCGGAAGAGGAGAGCGGAAUUCCUGGUGUAGCGGUGGAAUGCGCAGAUAUCAGGAAGAACACCCGUGGCGAAGGCGGCUCUCUGGGACGGUACUGACGCUGAGACGCGAAAGCGUGGGGAGCGAACAGG
rnacentral:rRNA from 1 species